GUGCCGCACGCGCCUCGGCUCGCGGACGCAAAACUGUAACGUUAAUGUAGGAAAACAAUAAUAAAUAAAUAACACGUACGAUGUCACGAGUUUGACAAACUCCACUGCUCUCGCAGGAGGCGCUUGUUCGUUGAAGUGGCUCAGCUCAGUUUUAUUUUUCAUUUUCAUUCGUUUUUAGUGCUCGGAGCCGAGAAACAAGAAGAAGAAAAUAAUUUUAUGAAAAGCAAAGAGGCGGAAAAAUAAAAAGAAAGAAAUAAACGUGUAUUGAUGGAAGGAAUGUGUGCGCAGCGAAGGAGGAGCGACUGAAACACUUACUGAACACACUGACUCGCUGGGGUCGCUGCGCAAUUAAACACGGCGCCCUGAGCAGCAUCGCACUCGAGCUGCGACGACGGAUUAUUGAUUAUCGAUCAUAUCGAUCUGGAGAAGGAAAGGAAGGCGGAGCAAAUAAAUGUCGCAGUUUAGUGGCGCGAAUAUGAGCGCUGGUCGCCCCUCGCGCGCGCGCACGCACACACACACACACACACACACACACACACACACACACACACGCACACACACGCACACACACGUGCUGCGCGCGCGGACAGCGACGCGUCUGCAGUAAGAGGGAGUCGGAAAAGGAUGAAACGCAUCAACUGACCAGGUCCAAGAUUCCCGGGUCCGUUUCUGUGCCUCCGCACGUUACGAUUUACACAUUAUCAUUAGUGUCUCAUUUCAACGACAUUUUCAAAAUGUCAGAUCAUUGCGUCACAUAAGUGUCUAAAUUCCUCAUUACUGUGGUGAAAAAGAGCACGCGCCAGUUUUUAAAACAGCAAAUCCAUCAGAAGGACAGAAAACGGACGUUUUGGUGGAAACUGCGGAGAGAUUUUGAAAGAGUCACGACACAGGGCUCCUGCUUGAAGAGCUCAUCCUUCAGCGCUCACCCGUCCCCGAAGCGCGGGAACGCAGGGCUCGGAUCGGACCUUUCGGAACCGCACGCCCGCAGCCACGCCCACGGUGACCUGCGGCAUCUGUCUGCCUCCUGGCUGCUGCGAGGACUUGCUGACCACGUAACACACGAACACGAAUAAGACCAGAGAACAAACCGCUCCUGCACUUUUCGGCGCCUC
rnacentral:lncRNA from 1 species